rnacentral:rRNA from 1 species
GACGAACGCUGGCCGCGUGCUUAACACAUGCAAGUCGAACGGAAAGGCCCUGCUUUUGUGGGGUGCUCGAGUGGCGAACGGGUGAGUAACACGUGAGUAACCUGCCCUUGACUUUGGGAUAACUUCAGGAAACUGGGGCUAAUACCGGAUAGGAGCUCCUGCUGCAUGGUGGGGGUUGGAAAGUUUCGGCGGUUUGGGAUGGACUCGCGGCUUAUCAGCUUGUUGGUGGGGUAGUGGCUUACCAAGGCUUUGACGGGUAGCCGGCCUGAGAGGGUGACCGGCCACAUUGGGACUGAGAUACGGCCCAGACUCCUACGGGAGGCAGCAGUGGGGAAUAUUGCACAAUGGGCGGAAGCCUGAUGCAGCAACGCCGCGUGCGGGAUGACGGCCUUCGGGUUGUAAACCGCUUUCGCCUGUGACGAAGCGUGAGUGACGGUAAUGGGUAAAGAAGCACCGGCUAACUACGUG